GUACUCUGACACAUUUAUCUUUCCCUUCUCUCCUGUGGUCUCUGUACGACUUGUCAGGUUGACGGUGUUUCCAAACAGGCAGUAACGGGGCAUUCUCUGACCUAUGACCCCUGUGACCACCUCUCCUGUGUGGAUUCCAAUGCAUUCCUCCUCUGAGCGAGACAGUGUGUACGUGCCAGAGCUGAGCUAACCAGCAGAAAAAAGUGCAUAACGCAUUGAACCCCACGAUGCCGCUGAAAAGGAUGGUCACGUUGUCGUACCGUUUCGCAGGCACGGGCCGCUUGUGCCGAAGUUCAUUGGCGACAGACGGAGGUAGAACCGAAUACAGCAAUCUGAAACAAAGAGAUACUGUACUUUCCCAGAAGGUUGAGUGCUAAUUAUCCACAGAGCAGUCAGACAUACUUUAAAUAUUUCCUCGAUGUGGCAAGGUGGAGGACUGUGGAAGCCUGUUUCCACCACAGAAAAAUAAUUAAAAGGUAAUUCCGACUUUUUAAUCGCACAAUUCUGACUUUUUUUUUUUUAUCGCAAUUACGAAUUUACAUCUUGCAAUUCUUUUUUCCUUUACUUUUUUCCCCCCAAUACUUUUUUUCCUGACUUUUCUCAGAAUUGCAAGAUGUAAACACGCAAUUGCGAGUUAUAAAGUAAAAAUCGCAAGAUAUAAAGUCGAAGCUGUGUAUUACCAGAAUUGCAAGAUAACAACUCACAAUUUUUUGCUCAGAAUUGGACUUUUGCAAGUUUAUAUCUCACAAGUCUGACUUUAGAUCUCGUAAUUGUGAGUUUAUAUCAUGCAACUCUAAGAAAAA